AUGGGGGAAGGGGAGAGUUAUAGUGACAGGGUAGUUGGCAAAAGACUGCUCAAGUCAGGAUGCCUCCAACAGGUGAAUGCAGCCAGGGAAGUGCGCAUGGGAUGCGGCUAUGGAGGACCCUCUUUUACCCCUCCUGGGAAACCUGCAUGCUCGAUCACCUCCCUGAAAUGCCUGUACACCAAUGCACGCAGCAUGGGGAACAAACAGGAAGAACUAGAGAUAUGCGUGCGGUCGCAGGGCCAUGAUCUCAUUGCCAUUACAGAGACAUGGUGGGAUAGCUCGCAUGACUGGAGUGCUGUCAUGGRUGGCUACGUGCUUUUUAGGAAAGACAGGCCAGGAAAGCGAGGUGGUGGAGUUGCUCUUUCCGUGAGAGAGCAACUGGAAUGUAUUGAGCUGUGCCUAGGGGUGGAUGAAGAGCGAGUCGAGAGCUUAUGGGUAAGGAUUAAAGGGCAGGCUAGCAUGGGUGACACUGUUGUGGGUGUUUACUACAGGCCACCUGAUCAGGAAGAGGAAGUCGAUGAGGCCUUCUACAGACAGCUGGAAGUAGCCUCACGAUCCCAGGCCCUGGUUCUCAUGGGGGACUUCAACCACCCUGAUAUCUGCUGGAAAGACAACACAGCUAGGCACAAACAGUCCUGGAGGUUCCUGCAGAGCAUUGGUGACAACUUCUUGACACAGGUGGUGGAGGAGCCAACAAGGAGAGGUGUGCUGCUGGACGUCGUACUAACAAACAAAGAAGGACUGGUUGAAGAUGUGAAGGUUGGGGGCAGCCUUGGCUGCAGUGACCAUGAGAUGGUGGAGUUCAGUAUCCUGCGAGGAGGCAGCAGGGCACUGAGUAGGAUCGCAACCCUGGACUUCAGGAGAGCAAACUUUGGCAUCUUCAGGGACCUACUUGGAGGAAUCCCAUGGGUUAGGGCCCUAGAAGGAAGGGGCGUUCAAGAGAGCUGGUUAAUAUUCAAACAUCACUUCCUCCAAGCUCAAGAGCAGAGCACCCCUAUGAGUAGGAAGUGA
rnacentral:lncRNA from 1 species